UACGUAGGGGGCAAGCGUUGUCCGGAAUCAUUGGGCGUAAAGCGCGCGUAGGCGGCCCGGUAAGUCCGCUGUGAAAGUCAAAGGCUCAACCUUUGAAUGUCAGCGGAUACUGCCGGGCUAGAGUCCGGAAGAGGCGAGUGGAACUCCUGGUGUAGCGGUGGAAUGCGCAGAUAUCAGGAAGAACACCGAUGGCGAAGGCAGGUCUCUGGGCCACUACUGACGCUGAGAAGCGAAAGCAUGGGGAGCGAACAGG
rnacentral:rRNA from 1 species